CUGCGUAGCUGACUAACGAUAACUACUGACUGGACCGAGUGGAGUGGAGACUGGUUUUACGACUGGAGUCCCGACUGCAGCGGUCAGAGUCUGCUUUUAAAAGAUGUUUCUCAUCAGAAAUCAUCUGAAGCUGAGCAACUGGAACAUCCUCUCUUUGGGCCUCAUCCAGUAUAGUGGCAGUCCAUAUCUCUCUCAACACUCCACUGUGCUCUUACCCAAGUGGCCUCAUCCUGAUGCUUCUUUCAUCACACUGAACAUCAUUGUCUGAACAUCAGCUAUGCGUGUGAGCUGGGUGCCACGCUGGAGUUCAUGCAUAGAGAGCUUGGCACGCCCUCACACAACGCAACGCAUCUGCCGGAGCCCGUGUAUUGGCGGAACCGCUCUGGCGCUUGAUCAGUCAGAGCCAAGUGAGCGAGCUAACUAAUCUGAGCAUACUGGGCUCAUCAGGAAGGAGGGGCUUA